CACGUAGGGGGCAAGCGUUGUCCGGAUUUAUUGGGCGUAAAGAGCUCGUAGGCGGUUCGGUAAGUCGGGUGUGAAACCUCCAGGCUCAACCUGGAGAUGCCACCUGAUACUGCUGUGACUCGAGUCCGGUAGGGGAGCGUGGAAUUCCUGGUGUAGCGGUGAAAUGCGCAGAUAUCAGGAGGAACACCAGCGGCGAAGGCGGCGCUCUGGGCCGGAACUGACGCUGAGGAAGCGAAAGCGUGGGUAGCAAACAGG
rnacentral:rRNA from 1 species